rnacentral:misc_RNA from 1 species
GAUGAAGAACGUAGCGAAAUGCGAUAAGUAGUGUGAAUUGCAGAAUUCAGUGAAUCAUCGAAUCUUUGAACGCACAUUGCGCCCUUUGGUAUUCCAAAGGGCAUGCCUGUUCGAGCGUCAUUUGUACCCUCAAGCUUUGCUUGGUGUUGGGCGUCUUGUCUCUAGCUUUGCUGGAGACUCGCCUUAAAGUAAUUGGCAGCCGGCCUACUGGUUUCGGAGCGCAGCAUAAGUCGCACUCUCUAUCAGCAAAGGUCUAGCAUCCAUUAAGCCUUUUUUUCAACUUUUGACCUCGGAUCAGGUAGGGAUACCCGCUGAACUUAAGCAUAUCAAUAAGCGGAGGA